rnacentral:lncRNA from 1 species
AGAUAUGGAGCAUGAUAAGAAGGGGAGAUGCCUUGGCGGAGGAGAGGAAGAGGAGGCAGAGCAGUACGAUGGUUGAGGUGUUGCCGCCAGACAAUCUGGACGGCUUCAGCCACCACUGCGACGAACUCCAUUCCCAUCUUCGUAAGCUCUAUACACAGCUCUAUCCUUUUUAUCAUCAUGAUUUUUUCUUCUUGUUUUUAUAGAUAUUUUUUGUUUUAGUUUCUCGCUUCGUCUUCUUUGUAUUUAUAUCAACAAACUUUAGAUUCAUCCCCACUACAAAUAUCCAAAAGCGUUUAUAAUUAACGUUUAUUUGAUAGAGACAUAAGCACAAGAAAUUAAAAAAAACGUUUUUUGAACAAAAAUAAAUAAAACUCGUUUACCUGUGAAAUCAAGAAAAAAAAAACACACACAGAAUAUAGUUUUAUUUUUCUCUUUUCAUUUAUCUUUGCUUCAAAGUUGUCUUGACUUUUGAGAAUUCAUCAUUGAUUGCUACCCGAGAAGAACUUCUCAUUGGUGUUUUCUUCUAGAAAUGACUUCAAACUUCUUUAACAGAAAGAACAGAGUUUUUUUUUUCUUAAUGGGAAUUAUUUCACCCAGUAAUAGUUUGAUAUGGAUUUUGCCUCUUUGGUAUUGACAAAUUCUAAUAUGAAAAUAACAAAAAGACCAUUUAAAAUUAAAAAUAUAACAAAAGACAAAUAAGAGAUAUAUUGAUCACACGAUCAAUUUUUGUUUAUUUGUAAAACCCGGUGAAUAUUUAAGUUACCAGAUCAUUAUUUGAAUGACUGGUGCAAAUGUUACAUACAUCUAACAUAUCUAUCUAUAUAUUAUAUGUAGCUAUCAGAAAAUUGUUCGCCAGCUGUAUGAAAUUCCAUGAAAUGUAAAAGAAAAUGAUAUUUUUUUUUGUAUCGAUUUUUUCAAAAUAAAAAUCGUUUUCACAUUUUCAGCUCAAAUAUCUGAAAUUUCUUUCUUGAUCUUAACAUAUUCAGACUAUUUUUUAUUUUAUUUUUGAAACCUGUUAAAGAAUAAAAAACAACCCAUGAAGUUGUUUUAUUUUUUUAUUUUGUUUUGGUCGUUACUCGUCAAUCCAUGAAGAGAAGAAUAACAAAAGAGAUAAGAUAGAACAAGAUUUUCAAAAUGUGUUGGUUGAGCAAGACGAAAUUUCAAAUAGUUAUUUCUAUUAAAUUAAAAAAAUUCGUAAAAUGACAAAUAUACAUUAAUCAUUUUGGGGGGUGGGGUAAAAUAAACGUUAAUCGGAUCGGCUUUUGGUCGCUUCGAAAAGACGCGCUCUUUUUAAACUACAGUAGUCGAGAGAGGUGUGUGCAUUUGGAUAAUCACACACCCUAAUUAUUUACAAUAACAUUAUGUUAUAACCCUUGUUUUGGUCGUCAACAAUGCAUUAACUUGUAAGUUCUAAAUACUGACGUUAAUUCACUAUGCAUAUAAAUACGACAUAUCUAUCAUAUAUGUCCAACUAUGUAUAUUCGAUGUAUCCCAUUCUAUGAUUCAAAUAAGUGCGUUUAGCAAAAAAAAUCAACUAGGUGGUUUUAAAUAACUAAAAACAAUCAAAAACACAUGACACACAUCUUACGGAUAUUGGUAUAAAUUAGAUAAAAUGUGAAUGCCCACCGGAGAAAAUCAAUUAAUCUGACUAGUAACACAUAUUUGCAUUAUUCCAAUUCAAUCACAUUAACUUUAAAAUAUUUUUCUUUUCAAAAAAAAAAAAAAAACUUUAAAAUAUUUUUCUCGUCUGGGUGAGUUUUUUUUUUCUUUCAGGUGCAAAGCUCCCAUUUCUUCUCAGCCAUUACAGCUUCUGCUUCAUCCCGACUUUCAUUUGGCGUGGUUGCGGUCUUCCAUUCGCGUGUGAAGCUCAGGUACGCCCUUAGUUAUUUCGCCACGCUUCAGAGUCUACAGUUACUCGACUAGGAGGAGAGUGAGACUUAGUUCCCUUACCGGAUUAACCAGGGCGAUGGUGAUGAGGGAAGGAUCCAGAGUUGCGCCCACAACUUGGUCGUGUGUCCGAUGACUCAAAGCUACAAUCCCAAUGGUUGUACCGUUUUUGAUUAAAUUUUAGUUCGAUUGUAGAUGUAAUGAUGCCCA